CAUCCGUUUCCUACAUACAUCCGUUUCCUUUUGGAUCGAACAGAAUCCUUUGUGCUCAAACGUGACAUGAAUAAAUUUGCUACUUUGCUGGAUGUUAUUUAAACAGACCGCGGUUGACACAUCAGCUAGUCCGCGAAGACAGAGGUCAGAAGACAGGAUUUCAGAGAGUCCGAAAACUUUUACUGACGAGCAACUAGAGAUUAACAAAAAGGAAUAUGAAGUGCCUUGUUUUGUUCUUCAUCUCUUUGGGUCUGGCGAUGUCAUUUCCUUCACCUCCACAGCGUGAUGCUGAGGAUCUGGAGAACCACAUGACCG